UGUUCGUCCGAUGAAGGAACGCAAUUCAGUACAUUUAUAACCAUGACUGACGGUACAACUGCAGUUGAAUUCCGUAUGUUGGUGCGAUAUUUUGUUGCAUUAUUCAACGAGGCGUGAAAAGGUACGGAAACAUUAGCUCGAGGUAUCGGAACAGUUGUCUGAUAAUACUAUGUCUCUGCAACAUCGACUGGCCAUAAAAAUCCGUAUGAAAAACGGUAUCGGUUGACCAUGAAAAUAUAGCCAGCAAGAAAGAAUCGUAUCGAUGACGUACCUGUUUAUCCUCGUGGAGAGGCAUUCGGUACACCUUCGACGUUUGUUCCGUAUGCUCGUCUGAUGAAGGAAUACGAUUCAGUCCAGUUCGAACCAUGACUGACGAUAUAACUGCAGGUCGUUUCUGUUGAAUCAUUCAACGAGGCGUGAAAAGAUACGAAAAACUAGCUCGACGUAUCCGAACAGUUGUCUGAUAAUUUUAUUUUCACCGUAAGAAUCCCGGUAUCAGUAGACGAUGAAAAGGUAGCCGGCA